GCUUAGUUAUUAUUCAGUCGGUAGAGCAUGAGACUCUUAAUCUCAGGGUUGUGGGUUCGAGCCCAACGUUGGGCG